CUCGUAGGCGGUCUGUUGCGUCCGCUGUGAAAACCCGGGGCUUAACCCUUGGCUUGCAGUGGAUACGGACAGACUAGAGGUAGGUAGGGGAGAAUGGAAUUCCCGGUGUAGCGGUGAAAUGCGCAGAUAUCGGGAGGAACACCGGUGGCGAAGGCGGUUCUCUGGGCCUUACCUGACGCUGAGGAGCGAAAGCGUGGGGAGCGAACA
rnacentral:rRNA from 1 species